rnacentral:lncRNA from 1 species
CUGAGGCCAAGUGCCAUGUCUACCUAUCUUUAUCCCCAAGAAAGCUUAAUUCCACGUCGCUAGACAGUACUGAGGAUAUAAACUGACCAGAGAAUGAAUUGCAGCUUCUUAUAGACUUCAUUACCAAAUACCAUCUACCUUAGGCUUCCCUGGAAGCUGAGGUCCCCAACAUUAGAGAGAACAGUAACAUUUAAGGUCCUCUCUCUCUCAAAAAAAAGAAAAAGUCCUCUCUCCACCGUCAAUACCAGAUUUCCUUUAAGAGUGAUGAUCAAAUUACAGUUUUACAUGACUUUGCCAUGGAGAGAACAUGGAUAGAAUGGGACAUAGGAUAAAUUAAUAAGUGUUUUAGUCAGCUUUUUCAUUGCUGUCACUGAAAGACCUGACGAACAAUUUUAAGGAGAAAACGUUUAUUUAGGGGCUCACAAUUUCAGAGCGUGUGAGUAGCUAGCCCCAUUCCUCAGGGCUCCAGGUGAGGCAGAACAUCAUGGCGGAAGAGUGUGGCAGAGGGAAGUGACUCACAUAUGAUCAGGAAGCAGAGAGACUCACUCACCAGAUACAAAAUAUGGAUCCCAAAGUCAUCCCCAAUGCCCUCCUCCUCUAGCCACACCCUACCUGCCUUCAGUUACCACUCAUGAGGAGAUUAAUUCACUUACUGGGUUAAGGCUUUCAUAACCCCAUCAUUUCACCCCUAAGCCUUCUUGCAUUGUCUCACAUGUGAGCUUUUCGGGGACACCACAUCCAAACCAUAACAAUAAGGAAGAAAGAUGAGGGCCUUGAGCAUCAGGAUCACAUGCAGGUAGAGCUCCAGAUUGGAUGUGUGGAUGGUCCUGGUUCCCCAAAACAGAGCCUAUCAGCUAGCUGGGUCCAACCCAGGAACGUGCCUCCUUUAGCAGGAAGGAAGCACACGGAAGCCAAGUCUUGUUUGUGAUCUAGUCUGACCCCAUCACAGUACUACCCGGCCAUCAGCCUCUGCCACCAUGUGAGUCUUCAGAGGCCUGAAAAAACCUCUGCUCUUACUGCACACCAAAUAUUCUGCUAAUGUGGAAAGAAGAAAUCCUCUGCUAGGAAUAAAGUCUCCCACUUUACAUGGAAAGACAAUUUGAACAUGAAACUACUUCCAAGAAAAGUGAUGUGUUGGCUGAAACUCAUGCAUGUUCAACAACAAAUGAGGGACGUGGGGUGAUUUGUAAGUGUGUUUUAAUAUGGGAAGGAGUAGUCUUAGGAGUAGGAAAAUGAGGAUAUUGUAAGAAAAGGAAUAGGGGGGACAGAAGGGGUUGGCUCUAAGGACAAAUGUCACCUAAUUUACAAUUGUUCACUGUGCAAGUUGCCAGGAGAUGGCUGGGCGUGUGUCUCAGCCCUCCACCCCUCCCUGAAAGAGCUAAGGCAUUUUACAGCACCCUCCAAAAUUAAGCUGGUCAGUGAUCUUGGCAGCCCUAUUCCUCCAAGGGCAGUUUUUCCUGCCCUUGGAGGAAUAGAUAAGGGGGAUACAGCUUUGACAAUCUUGAUUGUCUGGUUCAUACGAUAACAACCUAAGCGGUUUUAGAGAAGUUGGUGUUGGUUUGGCACCAUUCUUACCAAGAGAAGGGGCUGAAAGUAAAACAACUGUUUUGUUCUACUGGCUCCUGAGGAGCCUCAGGUGGGUUGAGCUUUCCUAAGAUCCCUUCUUACCCAAACAGGUAUCAUAUCAACCAGUCACUGAGAUCCCAAAGCAUUAGGGAGACAGAGUGAACCCUGUGGGAGCAAGAAGGGUGUCUUAUUCACCAUUGCAACCCCCACAGAGCACAGAGAGUAACAAAGCAGAGACUUCAAGUGGGUGUUAGAUGCCCAGACAGAGUUAAGUAACAUGCUCAGUGAUUUACGCGAACUUGGAAGUCAAAUCCAGAUUGGUCUGACUCACGCCACGAUGGUUUUCUCUCCACCACCAACACUUUUUUUUUUUAACUAUGAUUUUGUUUGUUUUGUUUCAGCACAUUUUUUCUUGGUGCAUAUAGUUGUUAACAACGGUGGGGUUUGUUGUUACAUACAGGUACGGGCACACAAUAAAACAAUAUAGUUUGGCCAACUUUCGCCCCAGCACUUCCUCCUCCCUCCCCUCUCCCCACCCUAGAAUUUUCCCUCUAUUCUACUAAUCUCCCUUUGCUUUUCAUGAUAUCACCUCCUCCUUUCUUCUCCUUCUUCCUCUCUAGCUUCCACACAUGAGAGAAAACAUAUGACCUUUGGCCUUCUGAGUUUGACCCAUUUCAUUUAACAUCAAGGUUGCAAGUUCUAUCUGUCACAGUCUUUCCUCUUCCAUUAUUUGAACUCUAUUGUGACCAUUAAAUGGGCAUCCUCAUCUAAUUAAUGGUGUAGUUAAACAUAAUGCACUUCUUUGGUGAUAACAGGGUUCUACUUAAUCCAUUAAGUCCCAAGUUUUCAGUUCUGUGAGUGUAUCAAUAAGACUGAUACAAACGCAUUAAAGUAGGUUGGAAAUAAUCUAGAGCUUGUGUAAUGUGGAUUAAUAUUAACAUUAGCAUGUUAUAACCAUAUUAUAUGUGAGAAUGUUGUUUUUAUGUGACACUCUACGUUUAAGUUUUGAUUGGUGUUCCACAUCUGGGAUGAUGAAACAAAAUGGAUUAGUUCAAGGAGCAGAACCACAUUACACUCCUCUGCACCGAAGAAUUCCUCCAUUCAUUCAACAAAUCAUUGCAAAGUGCCUACUGUGUGUGUGGCUCUGGCCAUGUGCAUCAUAUGGCCAGAGUAGGGACACAGUGGCCCCUGCCUGGCC